UCUUAGUUCCAGUUUUCNGUGCUAAUCAGC
rnacentral:piRNA from 1 species